rnacentral:rRNA from 1 species
CAUGUAGGCGGAUUGAUAAGUUUGAAGUGAAAUCCUAUAGCUUAACUAUAGAACUGCUUUGAAAACUGUUAAUCUAGAAUGUGGGAGAGGUAGAUGGAAUUUCUGGUGUAGGGGUAAAAUCCGUAGAGAUCAGAAGGAAUACCGAUUGCGAAGGCGACUAACUGGACUGUAACUGACGCUGAGGCGCGAAAGUGUGGGGAGCAAACA